rnacentral:rRNA from 1 species
GACGAACGCUGGCGGCGUGCUUAACACAUGCAAGUCGAACGGUGACGAGGAGCUUGCUCCUCCGAUCAGUGGCGAACGGGUGAGUAACACGUGAGUAACCUGCCCCAGACCCUGGGAUAACAGUUGGAAACAGCUGCUAAUACCGGAUACGAGACGGAGAGGCAUCUCUACCGUCUGGAAAGAUUUAUCGGUCUGGGAUGGACUCGCGGCCUAUCAGCUUGUUGGUGAGGUAAAGGCUCACCAAGGCGACGACGGGUAGCCGGCCUGAGAGGGCGACCGGCCACACUGGGACUGAGACACGGCCCAGACUCCUACGGGAGGCAGCAGUGGGGAAUAUUGCACAAUGGGCGAAAGCCUGAUGCAGCGACGCCGCGUGAACGAUGAAUCCCUUCGGGGUGUAAAGUUCUUUUAUAUGUGAGCAGUGCUUCUUAUAUUAACAGUAUGGGGAGAGAGAUAUUAGCAUAAUGAAUAAGCAACGGCU